rnacentral:rRNA from 1 species
UAACGAGUACUGAACAGGUUGUAGCUGGCCUCUCGGGGCAUGUGCACGCCUGGCUCAUCCACUCUUCACCACUGUGCACUUAUUGUAGGUCGGUUCAGAAGGGCGAGUGUAACAGCUCGCUCGGAAGGCCUUCCUAUGUUUUAUUACAAACGCUUCAGUUUAAGAAUGUAAACCUGCGUAUAACGCAUCUAUAUACAACUUUCAGCAACGGAUCUCUUGGCUCUCGCAUCGAUGAAGAACGCAGCGAAAUGCGAUAAGUAAUGUGAAUUGCAGAAUUCAGUGAAUCAUCGAAUCUUUGAACGCACCUUGCGCUCCCUGGUAUUCCGGGGAGCAUGCCUGUUUGAGUGUCAUGGUAUUCUCAUCCUUCAUAACUUUUGUUAUCGAAGGCAUGGACUUGGAGGUCGUGCUGGUUCCUCGUUGAAUCGGCUCCUCUUAAAUGCAUUAGCGUGAGUGUAACGGAUCGCUUCGGUGUGAUAAUUAUCUGCGCCGUGGUCGUGAAGUAACAUAAGCUUGCGCUUCUACCGGUCCUUAAGCUGGACAACUUACUUUGACAUCUGACCUCAAAUCAGGUAGGACUACCCGCUGAACUUAAGCAUA